rnacentral:lncRNA from 1 species
AUGGUUUAAUUAUUUAUGGCAAGGAUUAAUUAAUAUGUUAAUUAAUCAAACGAAUAAGUUUGUUAAAGACCUCGGGAUAGUUUUGGACCUUAAGGCCCAAUGGGCUUCGAACGUCAAGCCCAUUGACUUAAGUUGUAUGACAAUUUAAUGAAUAAAGAUUCACAAAGGCGCAAAAGCCCAAAUCCCUUAUGUGGCCGGCCAUGUGUGUUGAAUUAGGGUUUUUUGGUUCUUUAGGUCAUUUAAAGAAGUGACUAUAUAAAGAACUUUAUAGCCUAAAAUUCAUUAAGGGGUUUCUUUUAGGAAAUUGGAGAGAACACAAAGCUCUCCUUUCUCUCUAAAGAGGCCGGCCCCCUUGGAGGGAUUAGCUAGCAAUCCCACUCCUCCAAGGUCACUCAUUUCUUCUCCAAUCUAACCUUGGUGUAGACACUUAGAGGUUCUCAAUUUUGGGAACUUGGAUAACCAUAUUCUUCCAUCCAAAUCCAUGGAUCUAAGAAGCAAUAAAUGAAGGCCUUCUCUUUGGGUGAUUAG